rnacentral:lncRNA from 1 species
GUGUCAAGAUGCAUGCACUAAUAACAACGCAAGAUUUGGGAAAGGCAUUGGAUGGCAAGGCUAAGUUGUGAAUUAAGAGAUUUAAUGCAUGCGAUAAUUAUUAGAUGCAUUGAAACUUGAUAAAUACCACAAUAAAUACUCAUAAAAAGUUGUGAAUUAAGAUACAUAAUGCAUGCAAUCAAGGAUGAAGAGGAUGUCCCAUUGCCCACCACUUUGACUAGUUUCCUCCUUGAGACAAGAUUGAUCUUUGCUUGUUCUACAUUUCCCCAUAUUUUACAUACUAACCUCCCAUAUCUGAAGCUUCAGAUUUUGUUCAUAAAUCUUGAUUGCGUAAUUUGAGAACAUUUGUGCAUGUGUUCUACACAUAAACUUACAGGUGGUCGGCUAUAUUUAAAUUAGUGCAAAUAUAAAGAUAUAUUUAAUUGAAGCAAUCACAAAAGGUUCCAACCUCUCAAAAGCACAUGCUGCCCACUAUCCACUACCCUUUGAUUGCUUAAUUUCUUUAUAUUUUACAUCUUUUACUUUGAGAAUAAACAAUCAGCUGGCCUUUUUUUUUUUACUUUUCUUGUAUGAAGAACAAUUCAUGAGUUGUUAAUUCAUAAGUGAAAGACAGUAUGGCAAAUGCAUCACGCAUGCACUAACCGAAGAGAAAAGGAAGGAAAAUGUACAACUUUCAUAUUAUUCACAUGUGAAUUGUAUUAGAAAAAGUUCCUUAUUGGAGAAUUGAUGUGAUUUGCAGCUAAUUGACCCAUAACUCAUUUACUUAAGUUUUCGAGUGAAGGAACGUUCACUUGAAUAUUUUGAUGGGCUUGAACUUAAAAGACUCUCGGUGAGCUUCCAAGGUACGAGUAUUUGAGCUAGCAAAAAGGAUUUUCUUAAUUUUGAU